GAGCACACAUUUCGAAGUACCAAACACGUCUAUGAUGUAAGACUAUGAUUAUCCCAGUUUUUAAGGAAAAUCACUCAUUUAAUUAAAUCGAAAGUAAAUAAAUUUAGAUAACCAAUCUUUAAUUGAGCAUUUUGGACACUGAUCUCUAGAUGGGUUUUAAACACACGUGUGUCAGCACACAAUCAAAUAUAAUUUUUUUUUCUCUCUUUAUUUUCUUUUAUUUCUCUUUUUAUUUUCUUUUAUUUCUCUUUCUUCGUCUUUUCUUUUAUUUCUCCGUGAACACGACGAUGUCUUCUCCAUGAGGAAGACAAAGGCCAUCGUCUUCGAUUUUCAGCAAAGGAGUUUCUAGGGUUUCUGGUUUCGGUGUCGUGGACAUGCGCAGCCGUGGUUUCAGUGCUAGAUCCUCUCAGAUCAACAAUGCUGGGUCUAUUGAUCAAGCUCUUAUGCAAUCCAUGGAGCAAAAGGGUUUGAUGGACCACGGAGAGAAAGACAUCACUGCAUGGCGUGAAGAUCUUCAUGAAAAGUGUCAUGUUUGUUGUCAGGCCUUUCUAAGAUCACUCAUGGACUUGUGUAUGCUUUUGUAUGCUUGUGUCAUGUUUUAAUGCAAAGUCAUGAGCUUUUGUUUGCUUUUGUAUCGUUGUGUAUUAUCAAAAUCACAGACUGUUGUAUUCUUGUGUACUAUAAAGUUUGUAUACAAAGUCUCGGACUUCUGUUAAUGUUCUAUAUAACUUCACAACACUCUUGUAUCUC